rnacentral:lncRNA from 1 species
UUUAAUUGAGAGUUAUAAAGUUAGAUCAACCCCAGGAAACACUUUUAUUUCUGUAUUUUGUUUGGAUGCAUUGCAGUGCCCACGUGGGACUUCUAAUUACUCAUUCUGAGCUACUCAGUUACCAAGGCCACAAUCAGCAGCCAUCUAUCUACUCAGGAAGCACAGAAGAAAACACAGCGUGCCAACAGGGCGGUUUCAGGUGUUUCUCUUCAUGGAAGGAGCCCCCACAGGAGCCCACACGGCCAUCCAGGGGCUAUUCUCUCUGGCAUCCAGCUGACAGCUCAGGGGCAAGGAAAUGAAAAUCACAAGGGUGGGCCCAGGUACCAUGCUGGUUUGGUGCCACUCUGGGAGGCCGAGAUGAAGUGGAGGAGUACAAGAUAUAAAGCGUCAUCAAUUAGAAGGCUAUGAAAGUCAUCUGGACAUAAAGUAAUCAGGGCCUGGACUGGAGACUCAAGAACUAAAAAUCGGAAGUGCAAUGGAAAAAAGUGGUGGUUAUACAUCAGUAUACCUACUCUGCUUGUUUUAUUUACUAAGAAUGUCACAAGCAUAUAAGAAAGCGG